CAAUCAAUAUGGUAUAUUCUUACCUAUUACUCAUUGAUGUAUUGAUGAUUGGUAGUUGCAUGACAUAAUUAGUGUCUCUGCAGCAACUUGAAAAUGGUAUAAAACUCCUUGUUGCUCCUUUCUGAU
ensembl:snoRNA U8 U8 small nucleolar RNA